CCUCCACGACGCUCUUCAUAUUCUCUUCUAUUGGUGGUUUUACUUGAAGGAGAUAUUUGCAAAGUGUUAUGUUACUUUUGAAUACUGCCCUGAUGUCAUAUAGGCCGCAUAUCUUUUGUAUCUUUUCAGAGAGGCCUUUCACAUAGGGUAGACAG